UACGUAGGGUGCGAGCGUUAAUCGGAAUUACUGGGCGUAAAGGGUGCGCAGGCGGUUCUGCAAGUCAGGCGUGAAAGCCCCGGGCUUAACCUGGGAAUGGCGCUUGAAACUACAGGACUGGAGUAUGGCAGAGGGAGGUGGAAUUCCACGUGUAGCGGUGAAAUGCGUAGAUAUCUGGAGGAAUACCGGUGGCGAAGGCGGCAUCCUGGACCGGCAUUGACGCUGAGGAGCGAAAGCCAGGGGAGCAAACGGG
rnacentral:rRNA from 1 species